rnacentral:rRNA from 1 species
GACGAAGGUGGCAAGCGUUAUUCGGAUUUACUGGGCAUAAAGCGCGCGUAGGCGGCUUGGCAAGUCGGGGGUGAAAGCCCGCAGCUCAACUGCGGAACUGCCUUCGAUACUGCCGGGCUUGAGGGCGGGAGGGGUGAUUGGAACUCCAGGUGUAGCGGUGAAAUGCGCAGAUAUCAGGAAGAACACCCGUGGCUAAGGCGGUUCUCUAGUACGGUACUGACGCUGAGACGCGAAAGCGUGGGGAGCGAACGGG